rnacentral:lncRNA from 1 species
AAAUUCACAUGUGGAGCGCGUUUAUCUCACUGUUCCCCCUUUUUUCAUUCUUUUAUCUAUAUAAUAAAAUAAUUUUUAUAAAUAUUAAAUAAUAAUAAAUAUUGUUUUAAUACAAACUAAUAAUAAUAAUAAUAAUAAUAACAAUAAUAAUAAUAAUAAUGUUAGUAUAUGAAUUAAAAAAAUAAAAAAUAAAAAAUCAUUAUUCAUCUCCUUCGUAUAGUACUUCA